AGCUCCAAUCUCGUAUAUUAAAGUUGUUGUGGUUAAAAAGCUCGUAGUUGGAUCUCAACAGACUUGGAUCGGUUUACUUUGUGUAAUACUGAUCCAAAGCUGUGCUUUUGUCAGAGGUUUAGCGGUGCUCUUAACCGAGUGUCGCUGAGUGCUGACAGGUUUACUUUGAAAAAAUUAGAGUGCUCAAAGCAGGCUUUUACGCCUGAAUAUUCGUGCAUGGAAUAAUAGAAUAGGAAGUCGUUUCUAUUUUGUUGGUUUUCGGAAAUCGACUUAAUGAUUAAUAGGGACAGUCGGGGGCAUUUGUAUUCAAACGACAGAGGUGAAAUUCUUGGACCGUUUGAAGACAAACUACUGCGAAAGCAUUUGCCAAGAAUGUUU
rnacentral:rRNA from 1 species